rnacentral:tRNA from 1 species
UGCCCGGUGGUGUAAUGGUAGCACAGCAGGUUCUGGUCCUGUAUGUCAGGGUUCGAGUCCUUGCCGGGCAGCCA